CAGUCGCCACGGGAAUACGUAGGGUGCGAGCGUUAAUCGGAGUUACUGGGCGUAAAGCGUGCGCAGGCGGUUAUAUAAGACAGAUGUGAAAUCCCCGGGCUCAACCUGGGACCUGCAUUUGUGACUGUAUAGCUAGAGUACGGUAGAGGGGGAUGGAAUUCCGCGUGUAGCAGUGAAAUGCGUAGAUAUGCGGAGGAACACCGAUGGCGAAGGCAAUCCCCUGGACCUGUACUGACGCUCAUGCACGAAAGCGUGGGGAGCAAACAGGAUUAGAUACCCCGGUAGUCCCUGUCUCUUAUAC
rnacentral:rRNA from 1 species